GGAUAAGAGACAGCAGCCGCCGCGGUAAUACAGAGGGUGCGAGCGUUAAUCGGAUUUACUGGGCGUAAAGCGUGCGUAGGCGGCUGAUUAAGUCGGAUGUGAAAUCCCUGAGCUUAACUUAGGAAUUGCAUUCGAUACUGGUCAGCUAGAGUAUGGGAGAGGAUGGUAGAAUUCCAGGUGUAGCGGUGAAAUGCGUAGAGAUCUGGAGGAAUACCGAUGGCGAAGGCAGCCAUCUGGCCUAAUACUGACGCUGAGGUACGAAAGCAUGGGGAGCAAACAGGAUUAGAUACCCCGGUAGUCCCUGUCUCUUAUAC
rnacentral:rRNA from 1 species